CUUUUUGGCGGGAACGCGAGGAGUGAAAUUGUGUGAUUUGUUUUAUUUUGUCUAUAUAGUGUUUCUUCAGGUUUAAAUGUGUAAUAACGGUGGUUUAUUAACUGUUUAUUAUCUGUAAAAGUGCACAAAUGUGGGAAAAUGAAACAAAGCCGCUGGACGUAACUUCUCGGGAUUCUCCAAAAAGUCCACUGAAAAAAUCUUAGUAAAUGACCACCAUUUUUCUGAGAUUAUAUUUCAUCCCAUAUCAUCUCAUUUCAUUUAAUUUCAUUCCAGUUGAUUAAUAUCUCAAAUUAAUCAUCUUCAUUUCAUUUCACUCCAUAAUAUAAUUUUUCAUAAAAAUAUGAAUAUAAAUUAAAAUAAGACAUGACUUACAGAUCUUAGUUACCAGGUCAUAAAAUCCCUUUUAUAAGAUCUGUGGGAGGACUUUUUGGCGGGAACGCGGGGAGUAAAAUUGUGUGAUUUGUUUAAUUAUGUCUAUUUAGUGUUUUUUCAGGUUUAAAUGUGUAAUAACAGUGGUUUAUUAACUGUUUAAUAUCUGUGAAAGUGAACAAAUGUGGAAAAAUGAAACAUGGCCGCUGGACGUAAUUUCUCAGGAUCCUCCAAAAAGUCCACUGAAAAAAUCUUAGUAAAUGACCACCAUUUUACUGAGAUUAUAUUUCAUCCCAUAUCAUCUCAAUUCAUUGCAUUUAAUUUCAUCCCAGUUGAUUAGUGUCUCAAAUUAAUCAUCUUCAUUUCAUUUCACUCCAUAAUAUCAUUUUUCAUAAAAAUAUGAAUAUAAAUUAAGACAUGACUUAAAGGUCACAGUUACCAGGUCAUAAAAUCUCUUAAAAAGUUUUAUGAUAAGUACGUGUUUACCAAACAACGUUGUGUUAGUAGAUUCUCAUAGCAGUCUAAUUAGUCACUGAAAUCUAUACUGCCACUGACGGAGAUCUGAAGCUACAGCCUGAACCACUUUAGGUAUGUACUUUGAUAUGACCGUCGAUGUCUAUGGGCUCCUGUGAACACUUAACAGCAUUUCGGCCGUGGACUCAUCCACCCAUCAAAACUAUAAACAAUCAACCAAGGCUUGAUAAUAUUCUGUUAUCUAUCAGAAUAUUUUCAAGCCUUGGUUGAUUUUUGCAACGCACGGAUCACUAAAAAUGACUGAAAAUAUGACGAUAUUGGUGAAUGUAACGCGGGAAAAAGCCUGUGCUUUAUAUUUUAUAAAGGAUACAGUCUGCAAGUUUAAUAUGAUCCUUGAAUACUGUGUACCAUUUCUUGAGUACUAUUUUGUCGUAUCUAGUGCCAGUUUGUGCGGCUAUUAACUUCUUUAAAUCACCCACGGUAUCGUCAGGGUUGCAUUUAACUCGAACCUUCUUACCGAGUCGAUCAUUGCAUGUUACUUCAAGCAUUUUGCUCUCAAAUCAGCUCUCAGUUUUAUUAUGAAAUAAAAUAUAUAAAUAGUAA